CGGCCGGGGCCGGGGGCCGGAGAGGAGCCAGGGCUGGGGGGGGAAGAGGCGCCCCGGAGCCCGCGCCCGCCCCCCAAGAUGCGAUGGGGGGUCCUCCUGCUGCUCGCCCUGCUGCGCGAGGCCGCGGGGGAGGCUCGCGGCAGGCUGGAGGCAGGACACCUCCACGGCCGCUCCUUGGAGCGGGGAGCAGGGACAAAGCUUCUGGGCUGGAGGCGGAAAACUCAGGAGAGUUUGCUGGAGACUGACGGGACCCGCAUCAGCCAGGACCUGGUAGGAGGCAGCUUGGCCAUUGACACCCUGCCAGAUAAUGAGACGCAGAUUGUGGAAGACAACCAUAGCUACUACGUGUCACGGUUCUACGGGCCAGGGGAGGCGCGCACCAAAGAGCUCUGGGUCGAUGUGGCAGAAGCCAACAGGAGCCAAGUGAAAGUCCAUGGGAUCCUGUCCAACAUGCACAGGCAGGCCUCGAGAGUCAUCCUGUCCUUCGACUUCCCCUUCUAUGGCCAUCACCUGCGGCAGAUCACCAUAGCAACAGGAGGUUUCAUCUUCAUGGGGGAUGUCAUUCACCGCAUGCUCACGGCCACCCAAUACAUUGCGCCCCUGAUGGCCAACUUCAACCCCAGCUACUCCCGCAACUCCACCAUCAAGUACUUCGACAACGGGACGGUGUUUGUGGUGCAGUGGGACAAGGUCUAUCUUCAUGGGAAGGAGGACGUUGGCAGCUUCACGUUCCAGGCUGCUCUGCACAGCGAAGGGAGAAUCGUCUUUGGGUACAAGGAGAUCCCCAUGUCGGUCCUGGAGAUCAGCGCCACGCAGCACCCCGUCAAAGCCGGCCUGUCCGAUGCCUUCAUGCUCCUCAACCCUUCCCCUGACAUUCCCGAGUCUCGCCGCAGGGCGAUCUACGAGUACCACCGAGUGGAGCUGGACACCAGCAAGGUCACUAGCGUAUCAGCAGUGGAAUUCACCCCACUUCCCACCUGUCUCCAGCAUCAGAGCUGUGACGUGUGCGUGACCUCGGAGCUGACUUUCAACUGCAGCUGGUGUCAUGUCCUGCAGAGAUGCUCCAGUGGGUUUGAUCGAUACCGUGAGGAGUGGCUAUCACAUGGCUGUGGCCAAGAGUCGGACGAGAGGACCUGUGAGGAUUGGGCAGAGAGCGACCACUACUCACCGUCCCCAUACAGCCCCUUCACGUCAUUUGAUGAAGAUGUCACUACCUCCUCUCUUUUAAUUGGCAGCCUCACCACGGAAGAUGACACAAAGCUGAAUCAGUAUGCAGGAGGGGAUGGAGUGAGAAAUGACCUUCCCACGAAGACAGGCGGGACUCCGAUUCACACCGGGACCAUCGUGGGGAUAGUCCUGGCCGUUCUGCUCAUUGCAGCCAUUAUUCUUGCGGUAAUUUACAUCAGCAGCCACCCCACCUCCAAUGCUGCCUUGUUCUUCAUUGAGCGGAGACCACACCACUGGCCAGCCAUGAAGUUCCGAAACCACACCAACCACACAACAUACUCUGAGGUGGAACCUGCUGGCCAUGAGAAGGAGGGCUUUGUGGAAGCAGAACAGUGCUGAGCACAUUUAUUUUCCUUCCCCAUCCCCACAACCUCCCUUGUCUUCAGGGUUAGAGUCUCCCGUUAUUCUAUUGCAAACUCUCUCCUCUGUCUGAAAAGGAACAGGAACCAGAGGAAAAAGACCCAAUGGAGUAUUGAAAAAAAAAUGAAUCAGGGCAAUGCAAGGAUGUGACUCUGCAGGACUCCUCUGGGAACAGCAGAGCCUGAAUCAGAAGCAGUGCGUUAUAAUGUCAGUCUCUACCUGCAGUUUGGUGCCAGAGCUCUGGGGGGUGUCAGUAGGGAAAGCUUCAGUCGAGAUAGGGGUUUUUUGUGUGGUGUUGACUUCUUCCCUCCCACCUCAGGCAUCUAAGAGGAGCAGUUCCCAAUCUGGGCCGCAUCCUUUCCUCCUCCACUCAUCAUCCCACCCCACUGCUUCAAACCCUACCCCUCUCUCCUUCAAGCUAAUAGCUCUCCCCCUCUGUCCAGGGAGCAAAGCAGAUCUGGCCCGCACUAAGGCUCAUGCCCUGUAAAGGAAACACCUUCAGUGGCACUUCUGCAACCAUCUGUCCUUUCUAGUCAAUCACAUUAUUUUGCUGAUGCCCCUGAGGGAGAUAUGGGGGUGGGUGAGAGACCUCAGUUCCCUUCCUCCAAACCCAGGUCCUCUUCUACUCCCAUCACAGCCGCCAAACCAGAUCAGAUUACAAUGGAAGAGGGUGGGGAAAGAGCAUUAUGGAAAAUGUUAUUCUCCCAGAGCUAAAACCUGAAGUAAACUCAAGCAAAUUUUUCACUGAAGUCAAUGGAAGUUUCACCUUAGUGAGGACAGAGAUGUAGAGUUUUAACUCAGUUGCACUGUCAUAAAUCCAGAGUAACUCUAUUGGAAUCAAUGCAUCUAAAGCCUGAUUCAAAGUCCAUUGCAGACAAUGGGAGUCUUUCAGUUUACUUCAGUUGGGUUUACAUGAGGCCCCUACUGGGGAUUUUCACUGGUAUCACAUUCUGGCCCUGAGUAAGGACUUUAGCAUUAGACCUCAAGAGGUUUUCUUUUUCUUAUCCUUUGCAAUCAGAACCAAAGACUAGUCUACAGAAAAUAAAGGCUCUAUCCUGCUCCCUUUGAAGCCAGUUGAAUAACUCCCGUUGACUCCAACUGGAGCAGGAGUGGGCCCAGAAGUAAAAAAAGACAGACACCCAAACAGGCUCCAAAAGUUGGUGUGAAGUGCUAUUUGCUUUCCCAGAAGAAACAGGGUUUUGAUAAGUUUUAACCUAAAAUUGUCAAGCCUUGUCUCUGACUUUACAAUACUUCAUUUGAGGAGAAAGGAUCUUCUGUCUCACCAUACGGAGAUCAUUCUCUACGGUCAGCUGAGAGACAGUGCAGUAUGCUAGCACCUGAUGGCCUCCUCUUCCGUUCUCUCUCCCUAGAAGGGGACUGGAGUGCAAUUCUCCAUUAUUCACCCCUUCACCUAGAUGUCAGCAGACUCUGUACUUUCUAAGCCAACAUCACCUAGUUGUUGUGGUUGGAUCUAAAGUCACAAGUGGACCACAGAGGGGCUAAAGAAGGAAAUCACCAACACAGAGAAAACAGUGUGCUGUGGAAUCCUGAUGAUUUGAACUCCUGUUAUCAGAACCUCCCUUUCUAUGUCUGCCUGAGGCUGAAUCCUUGUCUAUUGACUGCCAAUUACCUGAACUCCAAUUUAUUCCAGCAUAUUUGGUAUCACCCAGGCAGUUCAGCUAGCUAAGAUUUUUCUGGACAACUCAGAAUUAACCCUUGAAGUGUUAAAACAAUGCGAGUUCCGAGGGGCAUGUGCUUCCCUGCAUUUUUUUGGAACCUUGGGCUUCUCUACACUACAUGUUAUGUUGGUAUAACUUACAUCACUCAGGGGUGUGAAUAACCCCCCCUCCCCAUGAGGGACAUAAGUUGGUGUGGACAGCGCUGUUGUCAGUGGGAGAAGCCAACAUAGCUAAUGCCUCUUGCAGAGGUAUUUUUAUUAUGCCGGAGAGAUAGCUCUCUCCCAUUGGCAUAGAGAGUCUUCACCAGAUGUGUUACAGUGGCACAGCUGCAUCAGCUAGCCCUUAGUGUCAGGUGAGGCCAUUUGGCCCGAGUCCAUGUAAAAGCCCAUGCUUCAUGUGCCCAUAAGGCAUAGAAAGGAGUUAGUCGGUAGCGUUAAUUUCAGAAUUAAAUGCUUAUUGGUAAAAUAUAGGAGCAUGAGUGUGCAAUGGAAGAAAACAAAGGAUCCCAGGCAUUCUUUGGUAGUGAGGUCUGGCUCUGGGAGCUCUAAGACCACUUCGAGUCAGUGGAAUCAAUAAGGAUCAACCUUUCAGCAUGCAGGGUCUCUAGUUUUCAUUGCAUGUGGCUUCACAGUGGAACAGCUCUGUAUCCUACUCUACAGAGCAGUGGUGGUGAUGAUGUAAAAGGGAGGAAGGAGAAAUAAAUGUGAAGGAUUCUCACUGCCAACCUACAAGUGCUGCACCAUCGUUCAAAGAAAUGGAGCUGGGACCAAGUAGAAGGCCAUCAACGUAACUCAGCUGAUUUGGAGAUGCAGGCUAAUCCUGCCAUUCUCAUGUGCAAAGUUAUAGGAAGGAAUGCCAGCUGUGUGCCUAGAAGCACCUGGAUGAAGAAGGUCUUUAUAUCACCUGGCUUCUAUAGCCAUUUCCUGAAGUUUCAGUUUAGAUCUGGGGUGAACACUUUGGCUGGGCUUCCUCAGAAGCAAAUUGUAUAAUGUACAUGUGUUUAUUGACCUGUGUAUUUUGUAGCUAUAAAAUGAGCUAGGGCUGCUAGCUGUGCUCAGUCGAUUGCUCUGCUGGUUACAGCAAGAUACAAAAUACAACCAACCACUUAUGCCAUUCCCAAUGUGUCUUUUUAAGGACAGCACCCUUGCAGUUUGUUGCAACUGUUGAUCAUGUUGUUAGAGUGUAGCGGUGCUGCUUGUACUGAAAUGGAGAACAAACAUCAGGGCAUAUAUUAAUUGACCACUUCUCUGUGUGUUCAGCAGUUGGGAAAAUAUACAAUAGGCUUUAUUAAAGACAAACAAAACAAGGGCUUGUUUCUGCUCCUGCUGAAAUCAGUGGCCAAACCCCCUUUUAUUUCAAUGGGAGCAGGACCUGGUUCCAAAAUAUUUUCUCUCUUAGUAACUAACUGCCUACUUUCCACAUACUUGAAUUUACAGCACAAUUGGACUAUUUGUGGGGACUAAAGGCACUUUAGCUGUCUUAAUGCAAUGUAUUUACUAUUGAUUAUCUGCAUGGAAUACAAUGUUAAUACUCAACAAAAAAACUUUUUGGACUGCUUUGUUUUCAAAAUAAAAAAGGCAAAAGAUUAUUGGCAAUGUUAUGCAAACUUCUAAGCAUAAUGGGAAUAGGAUUUUAUUUAUGUCUUGUGCAUUGUUUAAUAGACACUAUCAGAAUAAUAGACAUAUAAGUAUAUUUUUUAAGAUUUCCUUCUCUGUGUUACUAAUAGCAUAUUAGAUUAUUAAAACAGAAUUUUCAAAAACAUGGGGUGUGAUUCUGAUCUUAUUUACCAGAGUAACUCCACUAUCUUCAAUGGAAUGACUCCUGAUUUACACCAACGUAACUGAGAUCUGAAUCAAUCCUAUACUUUUAUUUUCAUUAUGCUGUUCAUUAAUCUUAUUUAGAUUUCACAGGUUUUUCAUCUUGGACAAUGAAAUUAGGCAGGUCAGUUUCACUUUCUUGGUCUCUGGCAUUAGUACCAAGGUACUUUAUAAAUGAAAAAUAGUUUAUUUUUUUAUAUAUGAAAAGAUCACUGAGGAUUUCAGGAAUCCCAUGGUUUAACCCAGUGCCCUUCUUGUACGGUGAAGGUAUAAACAGGGAAGAAUUAUAUCAUGGACACAUUGUCAGCACCUUAGCUAUGGUGUCGAAAGGCCAUUGCUGCAAUUAGCAACAGUGGGCAACAGAUUAAUUCUAUCAAGAAUUUCACUGUGAUCACUUUUAUACAGAAUUGUAAUGGAUACAAACACAGCAAGUAUUUCCCUCAGGCAUCCUCAAGGUAUAUUGCCACAACUGGAUUUUAACCCUUUGAAUGCUUGAACUUUCCAAUUGGA